GACGCUCAUGCUCGAAGGCGCGGGUAUCAAACAGGAUUAGAUACCCUGGUAGUCCGCGCGGUAAAACGAUGGACACUCGGGAUUUGCCCUAUUGGGUGAGUCCCCCAGCGAAAGCGUUAAGUGUCCCACCUGGGGAGUACGCCGGCAACGGUGAAACUCAAAGGAAUUGACGGGGGCCCGCACAAGCGGAGGAACAUGUGGUUUAAUUCGAUGAUACGCGAGGAACCUUACCCGGGCUUGAAAUGUGCAUGACGACCCCGAGAGACCGGGGUCUCCUUCGGGCAUGCAUGUAGGUGCUGCAUGGUUGUCGUCAGCUCGUGCCGUGAGGUGUCGGCUCAAGUGCCAUAACGAGCGCAACCCCUUCCGCCGGUUACCAUCGGGUUAUGCCGGGGACUCCGGCGGCACUGCCGCCGCAAGGCGUGAGGAAGGCGGGGAUGACGUCAAAUCAGCACGGCCCUCACGUCCGGGGCCACACACGUGUUACAAUGGGGGGCACAGCGAGCGGGAUGAUGGCGACAUCAUUCGAAUCAACAAAUCCCCUCCCAGUUCGGACUGGAGUCUGCAACCCGACUCCACGAAGCCGGAUUCGCUAGUAAUCGC
rnacentral:rRNA from 1 species